GAUGAACGCUAGCGGCAGGCUUAAUACAUGCAAGUCGAACGGGAUUCGGUGUAGCAAUACAUUGAUGAGAGUGGCGCACGGGUGCGUAACGCGUAUGCAACCUACCUUUAACAGGUGAAUAGCCCCGAGAAAUCGGGAUUAAUACACCGUAACAUUGCGGGAUGGCAUCAUUCUGCAAUUAAAGAUUUAUCGGUUAAAGAUGGGCAUGCGUGACAUUAGCUAGUUGGUGAGGUAACGGCUCACCAAGGCGACGAUGUCUAGGGGUCCUGAGAGGGUUAUCCCCCACACUGGUACUGAGACACGGACCAGACUCCUACGGGAGGCAGCAGUAAGGAAUAUUGGUCAAUGGGCGCAAGCCUGAACCAGCCAUGCCGCGUGCAGGAAGACGGCCCUAUGGGUUGUAAACUGCUUUUGCAGGGAAUAAACCUGUCUACGAGUAGGCAGCUGAAGGUACCUGAAGAAUAAGCAUCGGCUAAACUCCGUG
rnacentral:rRNA from 1 species